rnacentral:rRNA from 1 species
GACGAACGCUGGCGGCGCGCCUAACACAUGCAAGUCGAACGAGCGAGAGAGAGCUUGCUUUCUCGAGCGAGUGGCGAACGGGUGAGUAAUACAUCGGAACGUGCCCUGUAGUGGGGGAUAACUAGUCGAAAGAUUAGCUAAUACCGCAUACGACCUGAGGGUGAAAGUGGGGGACCGCAAGGCCUCAUGCUAUAGGAGCGGCCGAUGUCUGAUUAGCUAGUUGGUGAGGUAAAGGCUCACCAAGGCGACGAUCAGUAGCUGGUCUGAGAGGACGAUCAGCCACACUGGGACUGAGACACGGCCCAG